rnacentral:rRNA from 1 species
CCGGAUAGUAUCUUGAACSGCAUGGKUCAAGKUGGAAAGACGGUKUCGGCUGUSACUUACAGAUGGGCCCGCGGCGCAUUAGCUAGUUGGUGAGGUAAUGGCUCACCAAGGCAACGAUGCGUAGCCGACCUGAGAGGGUGAUCGGCCACACUGGGACUGAGACACGGCCCAGACUCUACGGGAGGCAGCAGUAGGGAAUCUUCCGCAAUGGACGAAAGUCUGACGGAGCAACGCCGCGUGAGUGAUGAAGGUUUUCGGAUCGUAAAACUCUGUUGUUAGGGAAGAACAAGUGCGAGAGUAACUGCUCGCACCUUGACGGUACCUAACCAGAAAGCCACGGCUAACUACGUGCCAGCAGCCGCGGUAAUACGUAGGUGGCAAGCGUUGUCCGGAAUUAUUGGGCGUAAAGCGCGCGCAGGCGGUUUCUUAAGUCUGAUGUGAAAGCCCCCGGCUCAACCGGGGAGGGUCAUUGGAAACUGGGAAACUUGAGUGCAGAAGAGGAGAGUGGAAUUCCACGUGUAGCGGUGAAAUGCGUAGAGAUGUGGAGGAACACCAGUGGCGAAGGCGACUCUCUGGUCUGUAACUGACGCUGAGGCGCGAAAGCG